rnacentral:rRNA from 1 species
CAAUAGCGUAUAUUUAAGUUGUUGCAGUUAAAAAGCUCGUAGUUGGAUUUCGGGUGGGACGCAGCGGUCUCGCGUUGCGUUUGUACUGCUGCAGCCCUCCUUCUUGCCGGGGGCGGCCUCUCGGACUUCACUGUCUGGGGGUCAGAAUCGGCGAUGUUACUUUGAGUAAAUUAGAGUGUUCAAAGCAAGCUUACGCUCUGAAUAUAAUAGCAUGGGAUAACACGACAGGACUCUGGCCUAUCGUGUUGGUCUAUAGGACCAGAGUAAUGAUUAAGAGGGACAGUCGGGGGCAUUCGUAUUCCGUUGUCAGAGGUGAAAUUCCUGGAUUUACGGAAGACGAACAUCUGCGAAAGCAUUUGCCAAGGAUGUUUUCAUUG